rnacentral:tRNA from 1 species
UUUCUGUUUGGCGCAUGGAACGGGGUGGCCGCGCUGGCGCUGCGAGAGGACGGUGCUCGGCUCACCGCGCAGGAGG